ACGCACGCUGGCGGCGUGCUUCACACAUGCCAGUCGAACGGAAGGGCCCUGCUUUUGUGGGGUGCUCGAGUGGCGAACGGGUGAGUAACACGUGAGUAACCUGCCCUUGACUUUGGGAUAACUUCAGGAAACUGGGGCUAAUACCGGAUAGGAGCUCCUGCUGCCUGGUGGGGGUUGGAAAGUUUCGGCGGUUGGGGAUGGACUCGCGGCUUAUCAGCUUGUUGGUGGGGUAGUGGCUUACCAAGGCUUUGACGGGUAGCCGGCCUGAGAGGGUGACCGGCCACAUUGGGACUGAGAUACGGCCCAGACUCCUACGGGAGGCAGCAGUGGGGAAUAUUGCACAAUGGGCGGAAGCCUGAUGCAGCAACGCCGCGUGCGGGAUGACGGCCUUCGGGUUGUAAACCGCUUUCGCCUGUGACGAAGCGUGAGUGACGGUAAUGGGUAAAGAAGCACCGGCUAACUACGUG
rnacentral:rRNA from 1 species